AGCCUUAAGAUUUAUUUAAGGUGAAGCCUGCCCAGUGCAUAUUGUUAACGGCCGCAGUACCCUGACUGUGCUAAGGUAGCAUAAUAAUUUGGCUUUUAAAUGGAGUCGGGAAUGAAUGGAUUAAUAGGGUAUAGCUGUCUCUCCUACAUUUAGUUGAAUUUUCUUAUUAGGUGAAAAUGCCUAAUAAAUGAAAAAAGACGAGAAGACCCUGGGAGUUUUUACUAAAAUCUUUUAAAGGUUCCGUUUUUGUUGGGGCGACAAGAGAGUAGAUGAAACCUCUUUUAUUAGAUAGGCCGACUGUGUAUGGUAAACUAAACUACCCCAGGGAUAACAGCGUAAUUCUUUCUGAGUUUGCGACCUCGAUGUUGGACUAGGAAUUUGAUGGGCUAGCCGCCUAUUUUUAUUGUUCUGUUCGAACUAUUUUUCCU
rnacentral:rRNA from 1 species